CGGUCUUGCUAAAGCUAUACUACUGUUAGAUAGGUACACUUGCCUCCAUCGUGAUAAUAGUUAGUUUUAAGAACGAUUAAUUAUAAAUCUUUAAAACCUGUCGCGAAUAUCACGUAUCACUUGCCAAGUUAUGUAGCUUGUUGUGUUUAUUUGUAAAAUGAGGUAAGUUUUUCUUAAAUGCCUAUGAACUUACUAAGAAUUCAAUAUGCUUACCCCGUUU
rnacentral:lncRNA from 1 species